UGGCAGGAAGAAUGUAAUUAUUCUCUAGGUUGUUCCUGGAACUGCAGGGUUUAAAAUUGAGUUACUUUAUUGAUAAGCAACCCCAGAAUUUUUAUAGCAUGCCCUGACCACAGGGAAAAUUAAGGUGUUUUUUUUGCCCCUGACACUUACCACUGAAGAUGUUUGUCAGCAACUGAUUAAAGUGAAACGAUUUUAAACCUCGUGGAAAUGCAAAUUACUUUCUUACACGGGAUGAAAUCAAGAGAUAAUGCUGGAGCACUAAAGCAGCGUAGGGCAUGAAUCUGGAAACUUUAUCAAGGACUUGGAAUUGCUGCCUGGAGACAAGAAUUCACCUAGAGAAGAAUCAGAGUUGUUUCCCAAGGACUUCUUGGAUGUCGUUUUGCAGCAGCAUGUUCCAGAGUCUGCGCUACUUCCUUCUGAAGAAAAUGCUGUGAAGCUGCUGUAUAGUGAAAUCUGUAACAGCUCUUUAAUCCUUUCCUCCAUGCAAAGGGAAGAGAAGUGAAAAGAAGGGCAAAACUUGUCCUUUGUAACAAAAUGCAGAAUCCGUGCUUUGAGAAGCACAAAUGUGGAAAUAUCUUAAAUGAAAGUGUCACCUAUCAAUGAUACGAAGUUGAUCUGCAAAGAAAAUGAAUUACUAUUCCUACCUGUCGGUUAGUCAUUAAAUACUAUUGAAAAUGAGGUACAAUAUAUUUGCAAAAUUAAAUUUAGUUCAGGAAGUUGCAUAGCCUUUGCAAUCGUUCCUGCAAGAUUCUAAUGACCUUUCUGAAUCAGGUACAAAUUAGGUAGAAAACAGAAUUUAGAUAGAAACAAUCAUGUAACUUUUCUGUUAGACCAACUGUUUUAAUCGUUUGAGUUUCUGGUUCAUCAAGUGACUGGUGAGUUCCACAAGAAAUUUCACUAGUUUCCUAGUGAUAUCGAUAGACUAUAGCCAUGAUUUUAAAUAAACCCAUUACCCCAAAUAAAUAUGCAGCUCUAAGAAUAUCUGUUUUUACACACCAUUUUUUGCACAAUGUAAUUUGCCCUCUGAACAAGUCUGCUUGGAGUGAUAACUGGAAGAAAUGCGAAAGAAGGCAA